rnacentral:rRNA from 1 species
UACGAAGGGGGCUAGCGUUGCUCGGAAUCACUGGGCGUAAAGCGCACGUAGGCGGAUCUUUAAGUCAGGGGUGAAAUCCUGGAGCUCAACUCCAGAACUGCCUUUGAUACUGGGGAUCUUGAGUCCGGAAGAGGUGAGUGGAACUCCGAGUGUAGAGGUGAAAUUCGUAGAUAUUCGGAAGAACACCAGUGGCGAAGGCGGCUCACUGGUCCGGUACUGACGCUGAGGUGCGAAAGCGUGGGGAGCAAACAGG